GAUGAACGCUGGCGGCGUGCCUAAUACAUGCAAGUCGAGCGAACAGACGAGGAGCUUGCUCCUUUGACGUUAGCGGCGGACGGGUGAGUAACACGUGGGUAACCUACCUAUAAGACUGGGAUAACUUCGGGAAACCGGAGCUAAUACCGGAUAAUAUUUCGAACCGCAUGGUUCGAUAGUGAAAGAUGGCUUUGCUAUCACUUAUAGAUGGACCUGCGCCGUAUUAGCUAGUUGGUAAGGUAACGGCUUACCAAGGCAACGAUACGUAGCCGACCUGAGAGGGUGAUCGGCCACACUGGAACUGAGACACGGUCCAGACUCCUACGGGAGGCAGCAGUAGGGAAUCUUCCGCAAUGGGCGAAAGCCUGACGGAGCAACACCGCGUGAGUGAUGAAGGUCUUCGGAUCGUAAAACUCUGUUAUUAGGGAAGAACAAACGUGUAAGUAACUGUGCACGUCUUGACGGUACCUAAUCAGAAAGCCACGGCUAACUACGUGCCAGCAGCCGCGGUAAUACGUAGGUGGCAAGCGUUAUCCGGAAUUAUUGGGCGUAAAGCGCGCGUAGGCGGUUUUUUAAGUCUGAUGUGAAAGCCCACGGCUCAACCGUGGAGGGUCAUUGGAAACUGGAAAACUUGAGUGCAGAAGAGGAAAGUGGAAUUCCAUGUGUAGCGGUGAAAUGCGCAGAGAUAUGGAGGAACACCAGUGGCGAAAGCGACUUUCUGGUCUGUAACUGACGCUGAUGUGCGAAAGCGUGGGAAUCAAACAGGAUUAGAUACCCUGGUAGUCCCCGCCGUAAACGAUAAGUGCUAAGUGUUAGGGGGUUUCCGCCCCUUAGUGCUGCAGCUAACGCAUUAAGCACUCCGCCUGGGGAGUACGACCGCAAGGUGAAACUUCAAAGGAAUUGACGGGGACCCGCACAAGCGGUGGAGCAUGUGGUUUAAUUCGAAGCAACGCGAAGAACCUUACCAAAUCUUGACAUCCUUUGCUCCUUCUAGAGAUAGAAGUUUCCCCUUCGGGGGACAAAGUGACAGGUGGUGCAUGGUUGUCGUCAGCUCGUGUCGUGAGAUGUUGGGUUAAGUCCCGCAACGAGCGCAACCCUUAAGCUUAGUUGCCAUCAUUAAGUUGGGCACUCUAAGUUGACUGCCGGUGACAAACCGGAGGAAGGUGGGGAUGACGUCAAAUCAUCAUGCCCCUUAUGAUUUGGGCUACACACGUGCUACAAUGGACAAUACAAAGGGCAGCGAAACCGCGAGGUCGAGCAAAUCCCAUAAAGUUGUUCUCAGUUCGGAUUGUAGUCUGCAACUCGACUACAUGAAGCUGGAAUCGCUAGUAAUCGUAGAUCAGCAUGCUACGGUGAAUACGUUCCCGGGUCU
rnacentral:rRNA from 1 species